rnacentral:misc_RNA from 1 species
AUACGUGAAGAUUGCGUAAACGUAACGUUAUUGAUAAGGUGAUCAUUACACAAAUCAGAAAACUACAGAAGAUUUCCAUAAUACGAUCAGUGACUAUAUUUCUAAGGCCGAAACUAAUUUCAAACCGAAUAAAUGUCGAAAUUUAAAGUAUUGGGUCAUCCCAUAAGUUCGUGCCGACCUUUGUGUAUACAUUUCAUAUUUUAAAGAAAAACAAGAGAACCUUUAUCGAGACGGAAUAAUGAAAAAUGGGAGGAAGUUGUACAACGAGAUGGGGAUUGCAUUUUUUCACGAAACUGAAAGGAAGCCGCAAUCUGUUGCAACAAUUUCCUCUUCAACUACCGUUGCUUCUCUGCCUCGACAGAUUUACAAUUUCGUGCACUCGACCGGCGUGCAGUAACCGUAUAACUCUUGUUCACGGUUUACUGCUAUCAAUCAACGUGAUGUGCUUAAGCUUCGCGGAUUCAACUCUUUUCCGGAGUAAAUUAACCUGCGUGAAAACGAGCGCGUUGACGUUUAAAGAAGAUUCAUUACAACGUGGAAAAUAUUUACGCUCGUUUUGGACAAUAUUUAUUUCCACUUGUUUAUUUCGUUUAAUAUGUUUACACUCGCAUUCUGACGAAUUUAUGUCCGCGUAAUUCUUCCUAAGUGUUACGUCUUUAUUUCGUACAGUGGGUGUUCAAGUAUCUUACCAUCUGUAACGUAAAAUUAUACUGAAAAUAUAUAUAUAUAUAUAUAGUGGUUUCUGUACAUUUUUCUCAAUUCUGAAAACCUUCCUAUGUAUUCGAGUUUCUUUUUUUUUCUAUAUUUUCUAUACAUCGAAUUUCAGAUUUCUAUAGCUAUCUCAAAAUUCGUACAAAUAAAAGGGACACGAUGGUUUCGAAAUAUAAUUGUUUGGUCGUUUUUGAAAGAAUUAAUGAACGAGGAACACGAUCUUAAAAACGGUAGUAGGAACCGAUUAAAAAAUCCUGAUAUAGAAUCAAUAAGCAGAAAUAAUCAAAGAAUUAAUUAUGAAGUAGAUUAGACUAAGAUUACGAUAGAUUGGUAUAAGAAUUUAAAUAAAACAAGGUAGAAAAGUUAUAGAGUAAUAAGGAAGAUUGUUAAUGGAUAUCAAAUUUUCUUUUA